rnacentral:rRNA from 1 species
ACGCUCGACACCUACGAGAGGCAGCAGUGGGGAAUAUUGCACAAUGGGGGAAACCCUGAUGCAGCAACGCCGCGUGAAGGAAGACGGUUUUCGGAUUGUAAACUUCUGUUCUUAGUGAAGAUAGUGACGGUAGCUAAGGAGCAAGCCACGGCUAACUACGUGCCCGCAGCCGCGGUAAUCUGAGCGGGCUGGCAAGGC